rnacentral:rRNA from 1 species
AAAGGGGGCAACCCCAAGUAGAGUGGCGAACGGGUGAGUAAUACAUCGGAACGUGUCCAAUAGUGGGGGACAACCCCGAGAAAUCGGGGCUAAUACCGCAUACGUCCUAUGGGAGAAAGCGGGGGACUCAAGGGAAACUGAGGGCCUCGCGCUACCGGAGCGGCCGAUGUCCGAUUAGCUAGUUGGUGGGGUAAAGGCCCACCAAGGCAACGAUCGGUAGCUGGUCUGAGAGGACGACCAGCCACACUGGGACUGAGACACGGCCCAGACUCCUACGGGAGGCAGCAGUGGGGAAUUUUGGACAAUGGGGGCAACCCUGAUCCAGCAAUGCCGCGUGUGUGAAGAAGGCCUUCGGG